GAUUCUUAGCAACGAAUAUCUAGGCUCUUACAUUGAUGAAGAACGCAGCAAAAUACAAUACUUGGUGUGAAUCGCAGAAUCCCGUGAAUCAUCGAGUCCUUGCACGCAAGUUGCACCCAAAACCAUCAGGCUAAGGGUACGUCUGCCUGGGUGUCA